GUGUGCUCAAAUGUUUGGGUAUUGGGACCAGGCCCAUUGAUCGCCAGGGUUGAUUUGGCUGAUCUCGCUGGCUAGGCAGGUGUCCCCUUCCUCCUUCACCGCCCCAGGUGCGAACCUCCCAAAGCUGCCCGCUCUGCCGAAGAGGAUGACCAUCUCCAACAGAAGGAUAGAGGAGAACCAGUCUUCGGUCAAGGAUAUACAAGUAGCUGCGCUCCCCUGCUAGGACCUCCAAACAAGCUUUCCAAUGCCUGUAGGGGUCGUGGGAUCUCUUGUAGCUAGGAUUUCAGAGGUCAGUGGCGGGAGUGUUCUUUCACU
rnacentral:snRNA from 10 species